rnacentral:sRNA from 1 species
GCCGGGCGUUGUGGUGGGCGCCUGUGGUCCCAGCUACUUGGGAGGCAGAGGCAGAAGACUCGCUUGAGCCCAGGAGUUGGAGGUUGCUGUGAGCUGUGAUGCAUGGCACUCUACCCAGGGGGAUAGCUUGAGGCUCUGUCUAAAAAAAAAAAGAAAAAAAAAAAAGAGACAGAGUCUGCCCUCAGUAGAGUGCUGUAGCAUCACAGCUCACAGCAACUUCCAAUUCCUGGGUUUAAGUGAUUCUCUUGCC